rnacentral:rRNA from 1 species
UACGGAGGAUCCAAGCGUUAUCCGGAUUCAUUGGGUUUAAAGGGUGCGUAGGCGGAAUGAUAAGUCAGUGGUGAAAUCCUGCAGCUUAACUGCAGAACUGCCAUUGAUACUGUCAAUCUUGAGUACAUUUGAUGUGGGCGGAAUGUGUCAUGUAGCGGUGAAAUGCUUAGAUAUGACACAGAACACCGAUUGCGAAGGCAGCUCACAAAACUGUAAACUGACGCUGAGGCACGAAAGCGUGGGUAUCAAACAGG